UAUAAGGAAGUACUGAGGUUUGUUUGUCCUCUCACUUCCUUUCCGUGAUCGUGUGUUGUGGAUGUCGUGUGUGUUGUGGAGGCGGCACACUUAAAGCUUCAAAGGUUAGUAAGUAGAGAGAUUAGUUUGCUCUUAUUUCUUUUUGCAGCGAUUGAGUUGUGUGCAUGUCACGACAGAUUGAGCCCUUCAGAAGGAUAGUAGCAGAUAAGCAGCUAUGUUAACGUCAUGGAGAGCUGAGUACUUGUUGCACACCAUUUAGGAGUGUUUUUGCCGGAUUAUUGCCUGACUGAUUGUUGCCUGAGUGCCAGUCAGAAAUAUCGGAUGUUUGAGGUAUUGUUUUAUUAAAGGGAACUUUUAAUAAUGUUUUUCCAUCUGUGCAUAAUUUAUAUUGGGUUUUAUUUUGUGUUUUUUGUACAUUGUAUAUAAUUCCCUGUUGUAAUUAAUUGUGUUUUCCCUUACAGGGAUGCACGGUUACCGUUUACUUUAGAUUGAAUUUUCUUUGGUUUAUUUAUUAUUUUGUCUUAUGCUGGACCAAGUGGGAAAACCCCAGACCAUAAACUAAGUGUGAUGGUUCAAUGGUGCUGCUGACUUGUUUGUCCUACUGGCAUUACCCACGGUUAAUCUGUUUUUCUUUCCUUUUUGUAGAUUUCUUUUUUCCCAACGAUGGCUGCGUGGUUACCCUCACUGUAUGGAUGGCGGUGGUGAGGUGGCUGGGAUCGUGUGGUGUUGGUCACUUUAUUUGUAUUUUUGCCUUUAGGGAUGCAGUGUGAUUGCUGUGAGUUUUGCUGUGGUGAGAGCACUUUUCAGGACUACUGCCUUCACGAUAUAGGUAACCUGUGGCCAUCUGUGGGUUGUUGUUUUUGUUUCUUAUUUUUUUAUUUGUUAUUUUGUGGGUAUUUGCUUUUAAGGACUUAUUUUCUUUAACUGCUGAAUUAUUUGAAUAAAAAUGUGCCUAUUGAUGGAAACUGCA